GACGAACGCUGGCGGCGUGCUUAACACAUGCAAGUCGAACGGUAAGGCCCUUCGGGGUACACGAGUGGCGAACGGGUGAGUAACACGUGGGUGAUCUGCCCUGCACUUCGGGAUAAGCCUGGGAAACUGGGUCUAAUACCGGAUAGGACUCCGGACUGCAUGGUCUGGGUGGAAAGCUUUUGCGGUGUGGGAUGGGCCCGCGGCCUAUCAGCUUGUUGGUGGGGUGAUGGCCUACCAAGGCGACGACGGGUAGCCGGCCUGAGAGGGUGACCGGCCACACUGGGACUGAGAUACGGCCCAGACUCCUACGGAGGCAGCAGUGGGGAAUAUUGCACAAUGGGCGCAAGCCUGACGCAGCGACGCCGCGUGAGGGAUGACGGCCUUCGGGUUGUAAACCUCUUUCAGCAUCGACGAAGCGAAAGUGACGGUAGGUGCAGAAGAAGGACCGGCCAACUACGUGCCAGCCGCCGCAGUAA
rnacentral:rRNA from 1 species